rnacentral:lncRNA from 1 species
AGAAAAGAAAAGAAAAGAAAAGAAAAGAAAAGAAAAGAAAAGAAAAGAAAAGAAAAGAAAAGAAAAGAAAAGAAAAGAAAAGAAAAGAAAAGAAAAGAAAAGAAAAGAAAAGAAAAGAAAAGAAAAGAAAAGAAAAGAAAAGAAAAAAGAAGCUAAGAAGAGGUAUGUAGAUCACCUCUGUAGAUUCACCCAGCCAAAGGGUUUCUGCAUCAGAAAGAUGGGAAGCAAGAAGCCAAGGUGCUGGAGAAGAAUGUGGACAGUGCCAAGAGGUUCCCGACCUAACCUAAGCAAGAGAUUUUUUCUUUCUUUUUUUUUUUAAUUUUUAUUUUUUUUCACCUUUCCUUUUCUGGAUUGUUUUCCUCCACAGAGUUCAAAGCUGUCACUCCAGUCAGAAAUGAACACCUGGAAUUGACUGUCACUGGGAUUUAAAAUUUUCAAACACCAAAGGAAAGAGAGGGAAGAAAUUGGAAUAAGGCCAUGGUGUAAAAGAUACAUGGUAACUUCCUGAAAUGUCUAAUGAAUAUUUUCCCUGAGUACCUUGACAGUUUUGAAGUGUAAGGGGGGUUUACAACGCCAUACAAGGAUUGUUUGUUCUAGGCACAAUAAGUUUAUUAAAAUGAGGUUCUGAUUAAAAUGAAAGGGUCUGGCUCAUUUGAAAUAUUAAUUUACAACUUGAAUUCUGCAGUCUGCCUGCAAGGGUCUCCCUGCAUGAUCAGGGCUAUGCUUGUUAAGUAGGAAAGCAUUGUUGCAUGUAAAGCCAACUUUUUUGCUUUUAAUGUUGUCUGAUCUAUUUCUCUAAGCUAGCCAGGUCUGUUGAGCUUCAGGGCAAAAUGAAAAGUUUCUCUGCUAGUUGGACUAAGGAUAAGUAUAUGGUUUCUGUUGGAAGGGUGAAGGGAGAUGGAAAAAUGGGUUAUAUGGAAUAUGGGGUAGAGUUAUUUGGAGGUUAUCUUCCCUACUGAUUCUCUUACUUGUCCCUGGUACUACCACUUGAAGGAUGUCUGUCCAUUAACUUUCAUUACUGACAGCCACAGCACAAAUAGUGAGACAGGAGACCAGCUACAUAUAAAUUGGAUUGACUAUAUCAAAUAAAGAAUUUUUAUAUCAUUUCUAUGACUAACCC